CCUACGGGAGGCAGCAGUGAGGAAUAUUGGUCAAUGGCCGAGAGUCUGAACCAGCCAAGUAGCGUGAAGGAUGACUGCCCUAUGGGUUGUAAACCUCUUUUAUAAGGGAAGAAUACAUGCCACGUGUAGCAUGUUGUCUGUACCUUAUGAAUAAGGAUCGGCUAACUCCGUGCCAGCAGCCGCGGUAAUACGGAGGAUCCGAGCGUUAUCCGGAUUUAUUGGGUUUAAAGGGUGCGUAGGUGGUUUGUUAAGUCAGUGGUGAAAGAUUGAGGCUCAACCGUGGGAGUGCAGUUGAUACUGGAAGACUUGAGUACAGAUGCGGUGGGCGGAAUGCGUGGUGUAGCGGUGAAAUGCUUAGAUAUCACGCAGAACUCUGAUUGCGAAGGCAGUUUGCUGGACUGGAACUGACACUGAGGCUCGAAAGUGUGGGUAUCAAACAGGAUUAGAUACCCGUGUAGUC
rnacentral:rRNA from 1 species